ACGAACGCUGGCGGCGCGCUUAAUGCAUGCAAGUCGAGCGGUGUCCCGCAAGGGACGCAGCGGCAGACGGCUGAGUAACGCGUGAGCGACCUGCCCCAGAGAGGGGAAUAAUCCGCCGAAAGGCGGACUAAUACCGCGUACGCUCCGCAGUGUAAAUGCUGUGGAGGAAACGAGCGGGGUAACCCGUCUCGGCUCUGGGAGGGGCUUGCGUCCUAUCAGGUAGUCGGCGGGGUAACGGCCCACCGAGCCUAAGACGGGUAGCCGGAGUGAGAGCUUGUACGGCCAGAGGGGGACUGAGAUACGGCCCCCACUCCUACGGGAGGCAGCAGCAGGGAAUUUUGCACAAUGGGCGAAAGCCUGAUGCAGCGACGCCGCGUGAGGGAUGAAGGCCUUCGGGUCGUAAACCUCUUUUCUCAGGGACGAGCAAGGACGGUACCUGAGGAAUAAGCAACGGCUAACUACGU
rnacentral:rRNA from 1 species